AGAAAGGUUAAAUAGAGAGAAAAUUCAUUUGGGAACUGCCAGAAAAGUAGCACUGGGUCUUUAUGGGUUAAGAAAUGAGAAUCUACUCCCUGCAUCAGUUAAAAAGUUAAAGAACUUGUGUGCAACUGAAAUAUAUUGAUCUCUGCUGUAAUUAUCCAGUGGAAUGACCUUACCUUUAUUUAUUUGGAUCAGGUAGUGUAUCAAACUGUAUUUAUCUUAGAUUGUCAAUGUGGAAACUUUUGCAGGACUGAGCACUCACUUUCUCUACAUCACAUAAGGGAACAGGUUCUACACAGUAAAAUACAAGAGCAUCAUUCAUUUUACAGUGUUACAGGACAUGUUGCUUAUAUUAAUGGUGGAUUCUUGGAUUUUCCAGGUUGACAUAAUCAAUUUAUGAGGUAAAAACUGCCGAGUGUGAUGGUCAUGAUGAAUAUUAUGUGUUAAUUUAUGUUUCUAAAGCUCCCUCAUCGCACCAUUAAGGAUGAGUUGGAGCUUAAAUAAAAACUAAAUUGAUUUUUAAGCAUGACAAAAUCAAUUUAUAAAUCAAUAUCUGUCGUAUAAAAUGAUACACAUAUCUUGGUGUUUUGCAAGUGACAGUCUGCACUUGGCCUGAUUACAAGCUGGUCAUAGAAGAGGAAGAACAAAACCACAGAGAAUCAAUACUGUUGCAUUCAAACAGGAAUUUAUCGGACCGUAUUGCAUAACCUACAAAACACCCUUCUUUCAAUUCCACUUCAGAAAUGAUAUAUUUCUUCUUGAACACUGGACCAUUUUCCCUUAAAAGUGUAUUUUUAGUAAAGUUAAUGCCUUGGAUCUGUUUACAGCUGUUCUCAGACUGAACAAGGUAUUACAAAAUAUUUGUGAAAAUGACAGUUGAAAAUGAGUCACUAAAAGAUCUUGUUAAAUAGCACCUUGCUACCCCAAUUUUUCUUCAAAGAAUAACUGCAAAACAAAAAAAUAUGUGUAUCAUGACAAACCCAUGGAAAAUAUGAACUAAUACCUUUUUUCGUUUUAUGACUAUGCAAUAGGGAUCUUAUCAAUGACAUAAGUUUUAGUGGUGUUUUAUUCCACACUAGAAAUGUUUAUGUCAUGACUUUUCACAAGAUAUAAUAUAUUUUUCAUAACAGAUAUACAUUUCGAGCAUUGUGAGCCUGAGGAAACCUGCUAUUUAAAGCCAAAUGAAAGGCUUUUCAAAGAGCUUCAUCAUCACAGGAGGAGGAUUUACAGGGAAAGAUAAUGGUAAAAUCCACGCCAAGGGGAAUUGUGUCCAUGAACCUUUUAAUGAUGUUUCAUAGCUAUACAUCUUAAUUACUAAUGGCACAGUUUGAUUGUUUUAUAGGGCUUUAAAGGAAAUUAAAGCUAUUUCACAAUGACCUUGGGAAACUCCUCUGCUGACCUCUUCUGUAACAGUGCCUGGUUUAUGUUCACUACCAGCCAAGCAGAGAGGGCUGCAUCGUAUCCAUGGAGCGGACUGACACAUUUAUUUGGCGGCUGCCCUGAGUCAGGGGCAGAUCAAGCGGCCAUCCGUCCUGCAGCCUUCCUAAUCCUUGCCUCAACACAAGUAUUAAUAACCCCUUCAGCAAGGUUCGCUGUCAGCCCUCAUUAAAUCCAACUGAAGAAGAGACAGAGAGACAAAGUGCCGCAGAAGAACAUUUGAUGCAUUCACAUGUCAGAUAAAGCCGCUGUGGAAAGACAGACAAAUGAGAAGUAAAACAGAUAGCAGUCAUCAGACAUGAAUAUCCACUAUAAAUGGCUAAAGUACCUUUUCAGAUGGAGGACCCUAUGUUUGUGUGCAUCACGUUCCUCUGAUACCUGUCAAUGUGUCAUGCUUAUAAAGCAGGAGGCUGUUCAAUGGGCCAUGUGAAGGCAGACAGAAUGAAAUUAACUGUUAAUGGGCACAUUCUGACGGAUGAAUUGAGAGUCUCGGUAGCAUGCCGUUCUAAUCCUUUCUGGAUGAAAAAAAUCCAAUUAAUGCGUUGACCUUGCUAUCUAAAUAUGCCCUUGUAGGCUGGAGGAUCCUUUGCAGAGUAAACAGAGGUGCAUACUCUGGCAGCAGGACAUGUUUGUACAACAGCAUU